ACGCACGCUGGCGGCGUGCUUAACACAUGCCAGUCGAGCGGUAAGGCCCCUUCGGGGGUACACGAGCGGCGAACGGGUGAGUAACACGUGAGCAAUCUGCCCAUCACAUCGGGAUAACUCCGGGAAACCGAAGCUAAUACCGAAUACGACCACCUCCGGCAUCGGAUGGUGGUGGAAAGUUCCGGCGGUGAUGGAUGAGCUCGCGGCCUAUCAGCUUGUUGGUGGGGUAACGGCCCACCAAGGCUUCGACGGGUAGCCGGCCUGAGAGGGUGACCGGCCACACUGGGACUGAGACACGGCCCAGACUCCUACGGGAGGCAGCAGUGGGGAAUAUUGGACAAUGGGCGAAAGCCUGAUCCAGCAACGCCGCGUGAGGGAUGACGGCCUUCGGGUUGUAAACCUCUUUCAGCAGGGACGAAGCGCAAGUGACGGUACCUGCAGAAGAAGCACCGGCCAACUACGUG
rnacentral:rRNA from 1 species